rnacentral:rRNA from 1 species
AGUGAACGCUGGCGGUAGGCCUAACACAUGCAAGUCGAACGGCAGCACAGUAAGAGCUUGCUCUUACGGGUGGCGAGUGGCGGACGGGUGAGGAAUACAUCGGAAUCUACUUUUUCGUGGGGGAUAACGUAGGGAAACUUACGCUAAUACCGCAUACGACCUACGGGUGAAAGCAGGGGAUCUUCGGACCUUGCGCGAUUGAAUGAGCCGAUGUCGGAUUAGCUAGUUGGCGGGGUAAAGGCCCACCAAGGCGACGAUCCGUAGCUGGUCUGAGAGGAUGAUCAGCCGCACUGGAACUGAGACACGGUCCAGACUCCUACGGGAGGCAGCAGUGGGGAAUAUUGGACAAUGGGCGCAAGCCUGAUCCAGCCACACCGCGUGGGUGAAGAAGGCCUUCGGGUUGUAAAGCCCUUUUGUUGGGAAAGAAAAGCAGCAGGUUAAUACCCCGCUGUUCUGACGGUACCCAAAGAAUAAGCACCGGCUAACUUCGUG